AACGAACGCUGGCGGCGCGCCUAAUACAUGCAAGUCGAGCGAGAAGACGUAGCAAUACGUUUGUAAAGCGGCGAACGGGUGAGGAAUACAUGGGUAACCUACCCUCGAGUGGGGAAUAACUAGCCGAAAGGUUAGCUAAUACCGCGUACGCUCCUUGGACUUCGGUUCAGGGAGGAAAGCGAUACCGUGGGUAUCGCGCUCUUGGAUGGGCUCAUGUCCUAUCAGCUUGUUGGUGAGGUAACGGCUCACCAAGGCUUCGACGGGUAGCUGGUCUGAGAGGACGAUCAGCCACACUGGCACUGCGACACGGGCCAGACUCCUACGGGAGCAGCAGUAAGGAAUAUUGCGCAAUGGGCGAAAGCCUGACGCAGCGACGCCGCGU
rnacentral:rRNA from 1 species